rnacentral:rRNA from 1 species
AGAGUUUGAUCAUGGCUCAGGAUGAACGCUAGCUACAGGCUUAACACAUGCAAGUCGAGGGGCAGCAUGUUGGUUGCUUGCAACCAAUGAUGGCGACCGGCGCACGGGUGAGUAACGCGUAUCCAACCUACCCUUGUCCAUCGGAUAACCCGUCGAAAGGCGGCCUAACACGAUAUGCGGUUCACAGCAGGCAUCUAGGGUGAACGAAAUGUGAAGGAGAAGGAUGGGGAUGCGUCUGAUUAGCUUGUUGGCGGGUAACGGCCACAAGGCUACGAUCAGUAGGGGUUCUGAGAGGAAGGUCCCCCACAUUGGAACUGAGACACGGUCCAAACUCCGACGGAGGCA